GGGGAAUUUUGGACAAUGGGCGCAAGCCUGAUGCAGCAACGCCGCGUGAGGGACGACGGCCUUCGGGUUGUAAACCUCUUUUGGCAGGGAAGAAGCGAAAGUGACGGUACCUGCAGAAAAAGCACCGGCUAACUACGUGCCAGCAGCCGCGGUGAUACGUAGGGUGCAAGCGUUGUCCGGAAUUAUUGGGCGUAAAGAGCUCGUAGGCGGUUUGUCGCGUCUGCUGUGAAAACCCGAGGCUCAACCUCGGGCCUGCAGUGGGUACGGGCAAACUAGAGUGCGGUAGGGNAGAUUGGAAUUCCUGGUGUAGCGGUGGAAUGCGCAGAUAUCAGGAGGAACACCGAUGGCGAAGGCAGAUCUCUGGGCCGUAACUGACGCUGAGGAGCGAAAGCAUGGGGAGCGAACA
rnacentral:rRNA from 1 species